AGAGUUUGAUCAUGGCUCAGGAUGAACGCUAGCUACAGGCUUAACACAUGCAAGUCGAGGGGCAGCAUGUUGGUUGCUUGCAACCAACGAUGGCGACCGGCGCACGGGUGAGUAACGCGUAUCCAACCUACCCUUGUCCAUCGGAUAACCCGUCGAAAGGCGGCCUAACACGAUAUGCGGUUCACAGCAGGCAUCUAACGUGAACGAAAUGUGAAGGAGAAGGAUGGGGAUGCGUCUGAUUAGCUUGUUGGCGGGGUAACGGCCACCAAGGCUACGAUCAGUAGGGGUUCUGAGAGGAGGUCCCCCANAUUGGAACUGAGACACGGUCCAAACUCCUACGAGAGGCA
rnacentral:rRNA from 1 species